rnacentral:tRNA from 1 species
GCCAAUUUAGCUCAACGGUAGAGCAACGGUUUUGUAAACCGUAGGUUACGAGUUCAAAUCUCGUAGUUGGCU